GAUGAACGCUGGCGGCGUGCCUAAUACAUGCAAGUCGAGCGAACAGAUGAGGAGCUUGCUCCUCUGACGUUAGCGGCGGACGGGUGAGUAACACGUGGAUAACCUACCUAUAAGACUGGGAUAACUUCGGGAAACCGGAGCUAAUACCGGAUAAUAUAUUGAACCGCAUGGUUCAAUAGUGAAAGACGGUUUUGCUGUCACUUAUAGAUGGAUCCGCGCCGCAUUAGCUAGUUGGUAAGGUAACGGCUUACCAAGGCAACGAUGCGUAGCCGACCUGAGAGGGUGAUCGGCCACACUGGAACUGAGACACGGACCAGACUCCUACGGGAGGCAGCAGUAGGGAAUCUUCCGCAAUGGGCGAAAGCCUGACGGAGCAACGCCGCGUGAGUGAUGAAGGUCUUCGGAUCGUAAAGCUCUGUUAUUAGGGAAGAACAAAUGUGUAAGUAACUAUGCACGUCUUGACGGUACCUAAUCAGAAAGCCCCGGCUAACUACGUG
rnacentral:rRNA from 1 species